UACGUAGGCAGCGAGCGUUGUUCGGAGUUACUGGGCGUAAAGAGUGCGUAGGCGGUUUUCUAAGUUUGGUGUGAAAUCUCCCGGCUCAACUGGGAGGGUGCGCCGAAGACUGGAAGGCUUGAGUAUGGGAGAGGUAAGCGGAAUUCCUGGUGUAGCGGUGAAAUGCGUAGAUAUCAGGAGGAACACCGGUGGCGAAGGCGGGGUCUCUGGGCCGAUACUGACGCUGAGGAGCGAAAGCGUGGGGAGCAAACAGG
rnacentral:rRNA from 1 species